rnacentral:rRNA from 1 species
CAUGCAAGUCGAACGGUAACAGGAAGAAGCUUGCUUCUUUGCUGACGAGUGGCGGACGGGUGAGUAAUGUCUGGGAAACUGCCUGAUGGAGGGGGAUAACUACUGGAAACGGUAGCUAAUACCGCAUAACGUCGCAAGACCAAAGAGGGGGACCUUCGGGCCUCUUGCCAUCGGAUGUGCCCAGAUGGGAUUAGCUAGUAGGUGGGGUAACGGCUCACCUAGGCGACGAUCCCUAGCUGGUCUGAGAGGAUGACCAGCCACACUGGAACUGAGACACGGUCCAGACUCCUACGGGAGGCAGCAGUGGGGAAUAUUGCACAAUGGGCGCAAGCCUGAUGCAGCCAUGCCGCGUGUAUGAAGAAGGCCUUAGGGUUGUAAAGUACUUUCAGCGGGGAGGAAGGGAGUAAAGUUAAUACCUUUGCUCAUUGACGUUACCCGCAGAAGAAGCACCGGCUAACUCCGUGCCAGCAGCCGCGGUAAUACGGAGGGUGCAAGCGUUAAUCGGAAUUACUGGGCGUAAAGCGCACGCAGGCGGUUUGUUAAGUCAGAUGUGAAAUCCCCGGGCUCAACCUGGGAACUGCAUCUGAUACUGGCAAGCUUGAGUCUCGUAGAGGGGGGUAGAAUUCCAGGUGUAGCGGUGAAAUGCGUAGAGAUCUGGAGGAAUACCGGUGGCGAAGGCGG